CUGAACGGAGCUAAUACCGAUAAUAUUUUGAACCGCAUGGUUCAAAAGUGAAAGACGGUCUUGCUGUCACUUAUAGAUGGAUCCGCGCUGCAUUAGCUAGUUGGUAAGGUAACGGCUUACCAAGGCAACGAUGCAUAGCCGACCUGAGAGGGUGAUCGGCCACACUGGAACUGAGACACGGUCCAGACUCCUACGGGAGGCAGCAGGC
rnacentral:rRNA from 1 species